rnacentral:lncRNA from 1 species
AUCGAGACCGACGCGAUGUGUGACCUGGAGAGGGUAGUAGCGCACAGUUCGCAGGAGUGCGAGUUGCGUAGCUCGAGUAAAGCCUGCUGCAUUGUUCCAGAGUCGGUUGAGCUGCCCGCCAGUCAAGGCAAAGAGAGAGAUGAUUUAAUGGAUAAUCACUCGGACU